GUGGGGAAUCUUGCGCAAUGGGCGAAAGCCUGACGCAGCCAUGCCGCGUGGAUGAUGAAGGUCUUAGGAUUGUAAAAUCCUUUCACCGGUGAAGAUAAUGACUGUAGCCGGAGAAGAAGCCCCGGCUAACUUCGUGCCAGCAGCCGCGGUAAUACGCAGGGGGCUAGCGUUGCUCGGAUUUACUGGGCGUAAAGGGCGCGUAGGCGGACAGUUAAGUCAGGGGUGAAAUCCCGGGGCUCAACCUCGGAACUGCCUUUGGUACUGGGUGUCUUGAGUAUGAGAGAGGUGUGUGGAACUCCGAGUGUAGAGGUGAAAUUCGUAGAUAUUCGGAAGAACACCAGUGGCGAAGGCGACACACUGGCUCAUUACUGACGCUGAGGCGCGAAAGCGUGGGGAGCAAACAGGAUUAGAAACCCUUGUAGUCC
rnacentral:rRNA from 1 species